UUAACUAUUAUAUAGUACUCAGACAUCACUAAAAUUCAGAGUUUGAUCCUCUGGCGGGCACAUGCAGGCAGAGCCCACAGUGGAGGCCACGGCCUGCCAAAGCAACAAGAGUAUAUAGACACGGAUGGGGUAUACCCGAAGGUAUCCUUUUAUUAAUGAUCCUUCCGCAGGUUCACCUACGGAAA
rnacentral:misc_RNA from 1 species